UGGGGAAUUUUGGACAAUGGGGGGCAACCCUGAUCCAGCAAUGCCGCGUGUGUGAAGAAGGCCUUCGGGUUGUAAAGCACUUUUGUCCGGGAAGAAAUCCCCUGCCCUAAUACGGCGGGGGGAUGACGGUACCGGAAGAAUAAGCACCGGCUAACUACGUGCCAGCAGCCGCGGUAAUACGUAGGGCGCGAGCGUUAAUCGGAAUUACUGGGCGUAAAGCGUGCGUAGGCGGUUUCUUAAGUCUGCUGUGAAAUCCCCGGGCUCAACCUGGGAAUGGCAGUGGAUACUGGGAGGCUAGAGUGUGUCAGAGGGUGGUGGAAUUCCCGGUGUAGCGGUGAAAUGCGUAGAGAUCGGGAGGAACAUCAGUGGCGAAGGCGGCCACCUGGGACAACACUGACGCUGAGGCACGAAAGCGUGGGGAGCAAACAGGAUUAGAUACCCUGGUAGUCCACGCCCUAAAACGAUGUCAACUAGUUGUUGGGGAAUUCAUUUCCUUAGUAACGUAGCUAACGCGUGAAGUUGACCGCCUGGGGAGUACGGUCGCAAGAUUAAAACUUAAAUGAAUUGACGGGGUCAUAGCUGUUUCCU
rnacentral:rRNA from 1 species